UAGCGUAUAUUAAAGUUGUUGCGGUUAAAAAGCUCGUAGUUGGAUUUCUGUGGUAGGCUUCCGGUCCACACUAUGUGUGAGUAUCUGGUUCGGCUACUGCAUCCUCCUGAGGAACGUGGUGCGCUUCGCUGCGUGGCACGGUAUUCAGGACUUUUACUUUGAGGAAAUUAGAGUGUUCACGGCAGGCGUUUGCCUUGAAUAUGUUAGCAUGGAAUAAUAAUAUAGGACCCCGGUUCUAUUUUGUUGGUUUCUAGAGCCGAGGUAAUGAUUAAUAGGGAUAAUUGGGGGCACUCGUAUUAUCACGUC
rnacentral:rRNA from 1 species